rnacentral:rRNA from 1 species
UGAGGAAUCUUGCGCAAUGGGCGAAAGCCUGACGCAGCGACGCCGCGUGGAGGAUGAAGGCCUUCGGGUUGUAAACUUCUGUUAAGUGGGAAGAAAUACCGAUUUUUAAUAAAAGUCGGGGAUGACGGUACCAUUAGAGAAAGCACCGGCUAAUCUCGUGCCAGCAGCCGCGGUAAUACGAGAGGUGCAAGCGUUAUUCGGAAUUACUGGGUGUAAAGGGUGUGUAGGCGGUUUGCCAAGUCCAUCGUCAAAUCUUAUGGCCUAACCAUGAGUUCGCGGUGGAAACUGGUUUACUUGAGGAAGGAAGAGAGAGGUGGAAUUCUCGGAGUAGCGGUAAAAUGCGUAGAUCUCGAGAGGAACACCAAUGGCGAAGGCAGCCUCUUUGGCCUUUUCUGACGCUGAGACACGAAAGCGUGGGGAGCAAACAGG